rnacentral:rRNA from 1 species
UACGUAGGGUGCAAGCGUUGUCCGGAAUUAUUGGGCGUAAAGAGCUCGUAGGCGGUUCGUCGCGUCGGCUGUGAAAACCCGGAGCUCAACUCCGGGCCUGCAGUCGAUACGGGCGGACUGGAGUGUUGCAGGGGAGACUGGAAUUCCUGGUGUAGCGGUGAAAUGCGCAGAUAUCAGGAGGAACACCGGUGGCGAAGGCGGGUCUCUGGGCAACUACUGACGCUGAGGAGCGAAAGCGUGGGAGCGAACAGG